AGGAUCAUUCGCAAUGGGGGAAACCCUGACGAUGCGACGCUGCGUGGAGGAUGAAGGCCUUCGGGUUGUAAACUCCUGUCAUGAUGGAAAAGGAGAGGGGACCCAACACGUACCUCAUUUGAUGGUACAUCAAGAGGAAGAGAUGGCUAACUCUGUGCCAGCAGCCGCGGUAAUACGGAGGUCUCUAGCGUUGUUCGGAUUUACUGGGCGUAAAGGGCGCGUAGGCGGCCAUGCGUGUCGGAUGUGAAAUCUCCGGGCUCAACCCGGAAAGUGCGUCCGAAACUGCACGGCUCGAGUGCGGGAGGGGGAGUCGGAAUAUAGGGUGUAGCGGUGAAAUGCGUUGAUAUCCUAUAGAACACCGGAGGCGAAGGCGGACUCCUGGAACGCAACUGACGCUGAGUCGCGAAAGUCGGGGGAGCAAACA
rnacentral:rRNA from 1 species